rnacentral:lncRNA from 7 species
AAGAUUUCUGUUUAGGUAAAUUUCUCAUGCUGGGCAGUGGGAGUGAUUUUGGUGCUGCUUCUUUAAAAGGUGCUUAAUGCAGUCUAUAACUUAGAAAGAUUUCGGUCAUCCUAGUUAUGAAAAGGGGAGUGAACAACAGGAGAGACUUAACUACGUAGACUUUUGCUGAGACCAUACCACUAAUGUUAAUUUUUCUGAUGACUGUAAACUACCAAACCUGCUCUAAGACUGAUAGUGGAGAGGGUUUUUGGGGGGCAGCUUCUGAGGACUUCCCAAGUUUUGCUGUGGACAUGCAACAGACCUAUCAGUACUACUGUACAAGAGCUGUUUAGUCCUGGACAGAAAGGCUGUAUCUGCUAGGAAGAGGCCACGAUCUGCUGUGUCAUUGACCAUGCCUCACUGUAGGCUUGGUGGGCCUGGAAAGAGACAGGUAGAUAGGUCUUCAGAUCAAAUGCUGCCAAUCACCUACUCGCUGUAGUAAAUAAAACUUAGCUUUAU